ACUUCCAAAUGGACUAAGUUUGCAGUCUGAACUCUAUCAGGUAAUGAAGACCUUUUCGUCAAUAACUGUGCACACCGUCACUGGUUUCAGUGGUCGUGGCAAGAUGCCACUGACAAAACUUGAAAUUGCUCCUUUCCGCCUAAAGAAAAUGAUGGCUGACUAAUGGACACAGCAAGAAGAAACUCAAGAUAGCCCAGGUUGUUCAUAGGAUAUUGGCUUCAAUUAUUGUGCUGGUUGUAUCAUAUAGGAUGUAGAUUUUGCAUGAUUUUAUAAUUUGGGGAAGUUUAACUAGAGGCCAUUUUAAAGUUUUGACAGCACGGCAUGCCAUUCAGUUCAUGAUCCAAGAUGAACACCAGCAGUUACAUAAUUAAAACUGUAUUAUAUUGUACUUAUAUUAAAAGCAGUAUUUGUGGUAUAUAAAUUAAAUCCCUAAAUAAAACUUAUGUAGUAUGUUGUAUUUUUAUACAAGUCAGCUCUGUGUAAGUAUCUGCCCUAAUAUAAACUUGUAACAAAAAACUUACUGACACUUUUUUUUCUUGGUGCCAGGAUUCUAGAUUUAUAUUUUUAAGCUCUCAAAAAUGUACAGACCAUGUCUGUUUUUUUCCCCUUGUAAGAUUAACUUCUUCAUCACAGUGUUCAUCUGAUGUGUGUGUGGUUAUGUUAGCUAUCAGUAGCAUUGCUGCACAAGGACUGCUCUACAUUGUUUUGACUCCAAGACUGGUUUGAAUAGGAUUAUUUACAGUGUUGAUUAGUCAUUUUUACUUUUUUUAAAUAGACCCUUAAACAACCAAAGACACAUUUUUAUAAUUAAUUGAUAAACAUAAUUCAAUUUUUCUUCAACUUUACAUUUUCCAUUUACUUUGUAAAUAAUGAAUUUGUGAGAUUUGAGGAUUUUAGUAGCCUUCAAUUUACCGUAAAAUAGCUAGGUUCCAUUUAAAUGAAGUAUUCUGUGCAUGCAGUUCCUGAUAUGAUCUCAACCCCAAAAAGGAAGGGGGAAAAUAAAGAAACAUUGUCUAUACUGUGGUUAUAUCUCUUAACUCCCCUUCUUGAAAACCUUUGGCAGGGGGUUGAUUUUUUUUCCCUGCGUUAUGAAGCCUCUUGCUUCUUGUUGUUCUAAAUAUUUUAUAAAACAGGUAAUAGUUCUUCUUUGAAUAGGGUCCCUAUGGGUGCUCCACUUCAGGUUCAAAUGCGCCUUAAAUCCUUGAUUGGAGAUUUUCCCUUAGCUGUGUUCGUUUGGCCCACACAAGUAUCCUAUACAUCUUUAACCUCACACCAAGGCUAUAUAGGGUUGUGCAAGCGAACGACCCUCAGUUGGUUUUCAGUUCCACCUGGGCCUGAGAUAGACCACUACUGUGUCUGCCUGAAGCGUGCCUCAGCUAACUUCUUGUUUAUAGUUUAGUGUUAGCAUUAAAUAGUUGUUAGUAGAUAAGUAGCAUGAGGAUUAACUUUGUGCCUCUCCCUCCCUCUGGGAAGCCUUUCUCUCCUGGCGUACAUAGCUCUACAGGAUUCAAACAUCUCCCAGUCAGCUGCAGCCACUCUAAGUCCACCACUUGGGAGAGUCGCAUGUCUCCCAGAAGUGUGACUUCUGCCUGGCCCUUAAAUCCAGGGCAAGGAAGAACCAGUUGAGGCUGGUGCUGAUGGAGCGCUCCCUUCGACCUGCUUUAGAGAGUCAUGUCAGGAUAUCCCUGCUUUGGAAAUCUAUCUCCGGACAGAUCCAGUGCCCCUUGGACCUCGGCAGAGAUCUCCCCUAGAAAGGCCAAGCACUGGCUCCCAUCAUAAGGAGACUGCUCUCAAAAGAUCUUGGUCCCCCAGUAAGUCCAUGGUAUCAGAAGCCUCAGCCUCUCGGCUCCAUACCUCAGAGGUGAAAGACUCCUUCAGUACCAGUGAGUCCAAAGAGUCCCAGAGUUCUAAGGAGAAACACAGCUCUGACUGACUACAUGGGACAAGGAGGACAAGGAUAAGCGCUUCUCCAGCCCAUUACCAUUGAGCAUGGCUUUAUCGUUGGCACCUCCCCAGUUGGGACCCUCAGUAUCACACAACCGAAGUUUGUAACACCACCAGUCCCUACUUUGGUCUGCUUUGAUUGCCAAGCACACUGCCAUGGCGGUACCGAUCACUUGAUACCACAGGAAUUCAGAUACUCAAAGGACUUAUCAAUGGCUGAAGGACCAGAAUCUCCACUGCUCAUGGGUACUAAAUGCUUCUUGGUAUCAAGAUCCCAGUCUCUGGACUACCAUUGCUCUCUGGUACUGCUGGAUUCUCCACCCUUUUCCACUUGUGCUCCCCCAUUGGAGGAUACUCAAGGAGGAGGAAGACUUUCUUCAGUCUCAUCCAGGGUUCUAUUGCACAUCCGUAUAGAAAUCAGUUCUUUGACUCCCAUAGGGAAGAUCCUCAUGCUUGACACCAAGGAUUGUGGGACCAAUCCUGGAUGGCACUUUCUCUCCCAUUUGGUUCCCCCCUAUGGCCAUACUGGGAUCCCUGGGAUGAGUACUGAUAGCAACUUGCCAGAUAACCAUCUCUGACACAUUGGAAGGUUAGAGAUGUUCAAUCCUCUACUCCCCAACCAGGUCCCCAACACAAAGAAACGUUUGAAGAACAGGAGGCUAGGGCAGAUGAAGAAGCCACCCCUCACGCCUAUCUCUUUAUCAUCUUCAGAUGUGACAGUCAUACCUCCACCACCAUCCAUGGUUGAUGAUUUCCUGCCAUUUCAGGACCUUAUAAAAUGAGUAGCCAGUACUCUUCAAAUACCACUCAAAGAGGUCAAGGAUUUUCAACAUAAAUUGCUUGACAUUUUGCAAUCUGCAACACUCACUAGAGUUGCACUACCCAUUAAUGAGGUAUUCCUGGACCCAGCAAAGACAAUUUGGCAAACAUCUGCUAACAUUCCACCAAAUUGCAAAUGAGUGGUUAUCAGGAUUUUGAAUUUCUAUUCUCCCAUCCUCCACCUAAUUCUCUGGUGGUGGAUGUGGUGAAUGAGUUGGGUAAGCAACACUACUCAGUCUACCCCAUAUGACAAGGGCAAAAGCUUUUAGACCUCUUUGGAUGGAAGUCCUAUUCUUCCUCAACUCUGCAGUUUCAGAUCGCAAACUAUCAGGUGGUCAUGGACAAAUAAUUUCACAACCCGUAAUAAAUUUACAGUCUUUUUAUUGAUUUUCCACAGGAAGAGAGGGAACAAUUUCAUGCCAUCAUUGCAGAGGGUCAAUUAUUAGCUAGAACUUCUCCUCAAGCAUUCUUGGAUGCCACAUACACCAAUGCCAGCUCCAUCUCUGUGGUGGUAGUUAUGCGCAGGGCAUCAUGGCUCCAACUCUGAGUUUCUGAGAGAGGUUCAGAACACUGUUGAAUGCCUCCCCUUUGAUGGUUGAAAGCUGUUUGCAGAAACCACAGACGAGUCUCUUCACACACUGAAAGACUCUAUGGCUGUUUUAAGAUCUCUGGAUGAAUAUAUAUAGAUAUAUAUCUAUUCUGAUGAAAGAAGAUUCAAACAGCCCAGAGAUCUUGCCCAUCUUAGUUGGAUUUCACAGAUCCACAAAACCCCCCAGGAAGAGACAUAAGUUCCAGAGAAAAAAGGCGGCUACUCCUUCUUCCAAAAGUUCCAAGUCAUCAUUGAAACAACAAUUUUGACAAGUCGGCCAAGGGUUUGAAUCCUUCCACACUUCUGAUUCAGCACCUUGCAACACUUUGCCCAUCCUUUUGAAGACUGCUUUUCCCUUUCUAGCAUGCUUGGAGGUGGAUCACUACAGACAAAUGGAUCAUAAAGGUCAUAACACCAGGCUACACUGUCCAUUUUUUAUCCAUCCCUCCCUCUCACAAGCCCUUACUGAGGCAAGAAAUAGAUUGUCUCCUUCAAUUAGGAGCAACAGAGCCAGUCCCAGCUCCUCAUAGGAGUAGGGGAUUCUAUUUGAGAUAUUUCCGUGUGCUAAAGAAGGAUAGAGGGUGGAGACCAAUUUUUGGAUCUAAGACUAAUAAAAAAAUUUGUAAAGUCUCAUAAGUUCAGGAUGGUGACUCUGGCAGUGAUAAUCCCUAUAUCAGAGGCAGGCAAUAGGUGUCUUUUUGGUCCAGGGCUGAAAAUCAACUUCCAUAUAGUGAUAUACCCAUUUAACAGAAAAUAUCUACGUUUUACUAUAGGCCAGGAACAUUUUCAAUACAGAAUAUUUCCCUCCGCCCUUUCCUUGAUCCGAAGGGUGUUCUCAAAGGUCCUCAUGGUAGUGGCUGUUUAUCUUCGUCAAGAAACUAUUUUAGUCCUCCCAUACCUCAACGACUGGCUGCUCAAGAGUCAGGCUUACAAAGUAGUCCUGUCACUUGCUCGGACGUCAUUUUCUCUUUUCCAGGAAUUAGGUCUUCAGCUCAACGUAAGAAAAUCCACUCGGAUCCCUGUACAGAGAAUACAGUUCAUUCAGUGUAUUUGAAUUCAAUGGCAGCCAUGGCAUACCUUCCCAUGGAAAGAUUCUUAACUUAUUACAUCUAAUCAGGACCAUUGAAGGGAGACUUUAAUCCUCAGAAAGAAACUUUCUACAGCUUCUGGGUUAUAUGGCAGCUUGUGCUUUCAUGACCAAUCAUGCAAGACUACGACACUGCUGCUUCCGGGGCUGGCUCAGAACAAUCUAUUCACCAUCCAGAGACAGUUUGGACAAGCAGGUCACGGUCCCUCUUCAUGUAAAGAACUCCCUAAACUGCUGAAAAUAUCAACUCAACGUUGAUGUAGGCACUCCUGUUGUUCACCCAACUCCAACAAUAAUUGUGACAACAGAUCAAAAUUUCAGCCAUUUACCUCCCUGGAGUUCAGAACACAGCCGAUGACCUUAGCAAGGGCGGCAACAAAUUCCUCAGAACCACUCUGCAUCUGAUCUUGUUGCAAAAACAAUAAGUUCGGAUGGCGUAAGCCCCAAAGGGACAGACGGCCCCAUGGGCAGUCCUUUUCCGAUACCCCAGUAGAGAUUUCAAAAGGUCUCUUACCUCUUCACUAGAGCCUUGGGGUUCAAAGGGGAACGGUCCGUAGUAGUUGUCGCUGUCUCAGCCGGGCAUUGCCAUCCGAGUCACGGCACCAAAAUUGUGGAAGAAAACAAUGUCCUCACUCUGAGUUUGAAGCAACAAGUCAGAGGCAGUUUUAUUACAAGCAAUUGCAAUUGCACGGAGAGUACACACAGGCAGGGAUUCCCCUCCCUAGGCAGGCCUCCAUUAGAUAAACAACUAGGGCAAGCAUUUAUACCUUUUGUUACAGACCAUAAUGAUCAACAACCGCAUCUUGUUUAUACAUAUUCCUUCUGAUAUCUUACUUUUCUCAGCAGUUCCUGCUACAGUCUGUAUUCCAUUCUUAUCUAACACAAGGUUGAAAAACAGUAUCUCUUACAGUUUUUUGUUCCACUCGCUUUCCACUUACCCAGGCUCUGCCUGAAAUCUCAUGUUAUUAGAGCUAGUGUUAGCCUGACUCUUACUUUAUUCCUAGAAGUCAAGAUAUCUGCAUUCAAAUUCCCUUUUUUUCUUUUCUCUACUUCCACAACCGUAUAUUCUAGAAUUGGGAACUACCAGGUGUGGACCUCUUGGCUGCCACCAGGAACAAGAAAUAUUUUAGUCUGUUUUUCUCAAGAGGGGGUCUAAGCUACCAGUCUCUGUAAGACACCUUUCUCCUAUUUUGCAUGAAGGGUCUAUUCUAUGCAUUUCCUUCAACACUGCAAAUACAGAGACUAAUGAACAGGAUCAGACAUGACCAGGUCCACGUUAUCCUUAUAGUACCAACCAGGCCGAGACAAACUUGGUAACCUUACCUGCGUCAGCUGUGCAUCCACACAGCAACCAAACUUCUUAUCAUUCCUCAUCUCCUCUCCCCAGACAAGGGUCAUUUACUUCAUCCCAACCUAAGGAUCCUCCAAACAUGGUUCCGUAAUCGUUCGUAUGAUUAGAAUCUACCUGUUUUGUGGAACUACAAUAAAUGUUACUGAAUAGUAGAAAGGAGUCAACCCAAAUUAUUAACCUGCAGAAGUGGAAUAAAGUCAACCAUUGGUGUCGGUGCCACUGACUCAUGUCUGAAUCCUUGUUGCUUUCAGCUAUUCUGGACUACCUGUUGGACUUAAAGAAAUCAAACUUAUCAGUUAGCUCCAUUUAAGGUUCAUUUGGCUGCAAUAUCAGCUUUUCAUCCUCCAGUAGAAGGAUUUUCUGUAUUUCCUCACCCUGUGUCUUUAGAUUUAUUAAGGUUUUGGGGAAAUUCUUUCCCAAGUUAGGGACCCCACUCCAACUGGGAACUUCAACUUUGUACUUAAAUGUCUUUCAAGCCCUCCAUUCGAACCAAGGACAACCUGCUCUUUGCUUCACUUAUCCAUGGAGGACUGCCUGUUUAGUAGCUAUCAUGUUGGCCCGAAUGGUCAGAGAAAUUGGGGCCUUGAUGGCAGACCCUCCCUCACGCUUUAUGGAGUUAUUCAAGGACAAUGUCUCUUUACACCACACCCUAAAUUCUUACCUAAGGUACUAUCAGAUUUUCAUCUUAACCAGUCCAGUUAUCUUCUGGCUUUUUCUAAAACCACAUAAGUCACAACAGAAGACUUCUUUUCAUACCUUAGCGAUUAGGAGGCCAAUGCCCUUCUAUCUAGAUAGGACCAAUCAAUUUCAGAAGUCACCUAGACAGUUUGUUUCCAUUGCAGACAAAUCCAAGGGGUCCAUGACUUCUGCCAAGAGAUUGUCGAGGUGGAUCUCUGGGUGUAUUAUCGCUUGUUAUGGUGCAGCUGGUGCUCAAACCCUCCCUCCCCAUAGGUAACAGCACAUUCUACCAGAUCACAACGUCCAGGGCAUUACUCAAAAACAUUCCAGUAUCUUCAGUACAUACAUUUAAUGCAUACAACGCUAAGCCUUGUUCCAUGCCUCCAGUUCAGAUGCAGCAUUUGGUAAUGCAGUCCUGUCUUCAGUUCUGGACUCAAUUAUGAAGCUCCCUGCUCCAGGUGACUCCCAAGUAGUAUCUCCACAGGAAGUGCAGUACCCAUAGGGACACUACUCAAAGAAGAAGAGGUUACUCAUCCUGUGCAGUAACUGUGGUUCUUUGAGAUGUGUGUUGCUGUGUGUGCUCCACUACCUGCCCUCCUUCCCCUCUGCUUUGGACUGUUCUCUUUGGAACAUUUGGAUGGAGAAGGAACUGAGGGAGGUUCAUUCACACAGCCUUACAUCGCCUCAGUGCGAGGUGCAAGGAUACACAAGACACAUUCAUAGGCCAAACAGAGACCCUGCUAAUGGAAAAUGUCUCAUCCAGGGCUCAAGAGGAGCAUGAGCACCUGAAACGGAGCACCCAUCGGGAUGCAUGUCUCAAAGAACCAUAGUUACUCCACAGGGUGACUAACCUCUUCUUAUGGUGUAAGUGCAUGCAAUACCAUUGACUUCAGUGGAGUUGUAUCUGUUUAUACCAAGUCUCAGUUUCGUCAAUCAUCUCUGUUUUCCCAUGAUCUGUACCUUUCCGCAGGUGACUGCUGUGGGUUAGCACAAGGGAUUAAUCUUAUCUUUCUCUAGUGUCUUCCCUAUCCAUAAGCACAAAAAGUGCAUAUGAGAGAGAGGUUUCAUUGGAAAGUAUUCAACAUAUUAUGUUAACAUACAGGGCUCUUGUAAACACUACCUCAUCCUGCUGAGUAUGUCGUCAUCAAUGUAAAAGUUUUUGUUAAAGCAAAGAGCUGUUAAUUACUUACAACUAUGAUUGAUCUUUCCUUUAGUCAGAGCUGCAUUGGCACAAGACCUUUAAAGGCGUUAGCUAAUCUUCUGAGCUAAGUAAUUUAUUGAUUGAUUAAUAUUUAAAUCAUAUUAUAUAUCAAUAAUGUAAACAUUUCAUAGCCUGUUGUACCAUUUUGCUUCAUCAGUCAUGAAGAUCAGCAAGACUCAUCAUAUUUAAAAAAAAACCUCAACAUUUUGACUUUUUAAUAAGUACUUGACUUCUAAUAUGUGAAGACAACCUCCAAUAAUAAAGCAUCUCUCCAUAAAUAUCAUGUUGACAAGGGAAAUAUUACCUCCAUUCUUUCUUCCACUUGUAUGAAUUUAAAUUGUGUAUGCUGUUAAAAAGUGGGGAUGGGAAUCCGUAUUUGUCUGAAUCCUGAAAUUUUCUGUAACAAGUUCCAUAGCAGACAUGUUCUAAAUAAACCAUUGGCAAUUUUUUUUUUAUUAUUCUUAGUCUAGUUUUACCCGUAUUGAGCAUUUGUAAACACAUCUUGCUUGACAGUUUAUCCACUAGAUGUCAGUAUCUCAGUCCUUAGAAAACUUUCUCCUAUCUGUAUGGGCAAUUAGUAUAUAAUAUUUAUAGUAACUAAGAAAUAACACUAUUUUACUUUAACUAACCUCUGAAGCCUCUGCUUAGAAAUACAUUUGUAUGCAUAAUUUAAAUUAUUCUACAGAAAUCAAAUGCAGCUAAAGCAAGAAAAACAAAAAGGAUUACACUGUUUUUACAAAACCAAAUAGGUGAAUAGUCUGUAGCCAUUAGAUAUGAAAUGUUUAACACUUUCCGAUAUCCUCACUAUAUUUAUCCAACCAAAUGCAAUAGCAUAGUCCUUUAUCAGACAACUGUGACCUGAAAUAUAGUUAUGUACAUUAAAACUAAGCAUGAAUUGCUUAAUCUAUAGUUCUAUUAUAGGCAACUGGGUAGCUUCCAUUACAGCAGAGCUUGUGAAACAUUUGGUCAUGCUGAACACUUGCUAGAAUCAAUCUAAUUGACACCCCUUCACCUUUUUUUAAAUUCAUGUACUAUAUAAAAUUCAUUUUUACUAAGGGAAAACAUUUUUAAAAUAUUGAGGUUAUCAUUCAGCUGAGUCUUGCGUCUAGGUUGGGCUUGUCUGCUUUUACCCUUCUGACUCUGAGAGGAAGGAGGUGCUCAGUGCUCCAGAGGAUCUUCAGUUUUCCUGGACACACGCACCUUUAUCCACUCACUUUUAAGCCUUACUUCUAUUAGGACUCUUUCUGGAAAACAGAUUCCAUGUAAGGAAGACUGGACAAGAGUCCCACAGUGCAGUUCGUGAAAUUAGCUGGCCAGUAGGGUGCAAUUCAUUAUUGCUUAGGUGGAGUACCCCACUUCCGUGUUGCUACUGGUCUUCUACACUUCUGAGGUUGUGUCUAGAAUUUAACCUAGAUCCUCUUACGUAAUAGCACAGAACAGUACCCCUUAGCUGUUAAGCCAGACACACAUUGAAUAUAAAUUUCUUGCUUUCACAUAAUUACUUUACUUUACUGAUUGCUUUUGUCCUUUGUUCAAACUUAUUCAAAGGGGACUGGCUAUGACUUGGCAUUUAGGUAAACCAGUAUAUUGAUAACAUCUAGGCUGACCUGUUUAUAAUAGAAAAAUUAUACAGAAAUCUGUCAUUAGUUUGUUCACUGUGUACAGUAUUAGUGCCUAGACACACUGUAUAUUUUUUUUAAAGUUGGUGCCAAUUUGUUUGGUUUAACUUGUUAGAAUAUCUUAAAUGAAUCAUGGAGUUUGUACUUGAUAGUUCUAAAUCAAUGUGAUUUAUCAUGUGUCAUGUUAAGGAGAACAAGCCUGCAGGCAUUCACUCAUGCGAUGCACCUCAUGAGAGUCUUGCUGCUAAGUAAGCUGUACAUCUGUAAAUUUUGUGGUAACAGAAAAAGAAUAAAUAGACUUUCAAUAUAAUGCAUCAAAAACACUAA